UAUUCAAAGACAGUAACUUUAGAGGGAUUUUCAGUUGCUAUGACACAGUUGCUUGGAAUUAAUCUGGGAUUGACAUAUGAUGACAUCUACAACUGUAACUGUCCAGGAGCUACAUGCGUAAUGAAUUCUAAGGCAAUUCUUAAAUGGAACAAAAUGAAGAGAUUUUGGCACUGAGCAAAAAGUGUAAGUGGAAGUUCUACAUCAGAAGACAGCAGUAGUAGCAGCAACAGUAACAGCAGUAGUGACAGCAACCAGUCAUAGAGGUAAUAACUACAUGAUAACAUCAAAAGCCAUAAGAUAGAGAAAGGAUAUUACCAAGAAACUUACCAUUAACUGGCUUGAUUCAACAAUGAAAACAAAAAUCGCCUUUUUUCUCCUUUCAUUAUGGCUUAAAGCUUUCAAUUGCACAAACAAAAUAAAUUCUAUGACAGGAAGUAUG
rnacentral:sRNA from 1 species